rnacentral:rRNA from 1 species
ACAAAUACUACCAACGACUGAAUACUCCAGUUCUCGUCCGAUCACUGAAGUUAAGCGACGUCGGGCGUGGUCAGUACUCGGAUGGGUGACCAUCUAGUAGAUCAUGUGCUGUUGGUU